rnacentral:rRNA from 1 species
CCUACGGGAGGCAGCAGUAGGGAAUAUUGCUCAAUGGGGGAAACCCUGAAGCAGCAACGCCGCGUGGAGGAUGAAGGUUUUAGGAUUGUCAACUCCUUUUGUUAGAGAAGAUUAUGACGGUAUCUAACGAAUAAGGACCGGCUAACUCCGUGACAGCAGCGGCGGGAAUACGGAGGGUGCCAGCGUUACUCGGAAUCACUGGGCGUAAAGAGUGCGUAGGCGGGGUAAUAAGUCAGUUGUGAAAUCCUGUAGCUUAACUACAGAACUGCCUUUGAAACUGUUAGUCUUGAGUGUGGGAGAGGUAGGUGGAAUGCGUGGUGUAGGGGUAAAAUCCGUAGAGAUCAAGAGGAAUACUCAUUGCGAAGGCGACCUGCUGGAACAUUACUGACGCUGAUGCACGAAAGCGUGGGGAGCAAACAGGAUUAGAUACCCUUGUAGUC